rnacentral:misc_RNA from 1 species
UUUCCGUAGGUGAACCUGCGGAAGGAUCAUUAAAAGUGCCCUGGCCUCGUGCCGGUGGACUACACCUCUACCCUCCUCGGGGGGCAAAGUGUUAACCAGUUGUGAAACUUAUACCUUUGCUUCGGCAGCACUCUCAGCCGUAAAAACACUGGAGGGGUAAGGCUGCCAGAAGCCCACUUUAAAACUAGUUGAUGAAAUGUCAUGCUGUCUGAUAACCAUUAUUUUGAGAAAUCAAAAGAAUUCUAUUAAAACUUUCAGCAACGGAUCUCUUGGUUCUCGCAUCGAUGAAGAACGCAGC